CAGAAGAAAGCCUCUGGGCAGGCAUAACUUCCUCAGCUGGCAUUUAUUUGGCAGAAAACCCAAGCCUCAGUGAAUUUAACUGCGCUUCAGGAAGCAUCCACCCACGACAUCAGUCAGCCUGCGCUAAACCCAGCAGGAUGCUGAGCCCCUUCAGUUCCUCUUGAAGUUGCUCAGUGCUGCGGUGCUCAGGACCUUGCAGGGAUGAAGAUGGUUGUGAAGCACAAAGAAGAAAAUUCUGAGAUGUGUCAGUGAUCCUAGAGGUACCUCAGAUGCCAGCGGCCCUGCACUACAACCUGAAACUUGGCUGAACUUGAGACUCUUGAGAGCCCUCAGCUGGAGUUGUUCUGCUGUGUGCUGCUCCUUCUUCUUCCACAGUGGAGGUGUCAAGGUAGGAAUAUAGUCUGUAUUUCUUUGUCCCU
rnacentral:lncRNA from 1 species